UACGGAAGGUCCGGGCGUUAUCCGGAUUUAUUGGGUUUAAAGGGAGCGCAGGCUGGCUUUUAAGCGUGACGUGAAAUGUGGAUGCUCAACAUCCGAGCUGCGUCACGAACUGGAGGCCUUGAGUGAGUACGACGGAGGCGGAAUUCGUGGUGUAGCGGUGAAAUGCUUAGAUAUCACGAAGAACCCCGAUCGCGAAGGCAGCCUCCGAGUCCUUUACUGACGCUAAAGCUCGAAAGUGCGGGUAUCAACA
rnacentral:rRNA from 1 species